GACGAACGCUGGCGGCGUGCCUAAUACAUGCAAGUAGAACGCACAGUUUAUACCGUAGCUUGCUACACCAUAAACUGUGAGUUGCGAACGGGUGAGUAACGCGUAGGUAACCUGCCUGGUAGCGGGGGAUAACUAUUGGAAACGAUAGCUAAUACCGCAUAAUAUUAAUUAUUGCAUGAUAAUUGAUUGAAAGAUGCAAUUGCAUCACUACCAGAUGGACCUGCGUUGUAUUAGCUAGUAGGUGAGGUAACGGCUCACCUAGGCGACGAUACAUAGCCGACCUGAGAGGGUGCUCGGCCACACUGGGACUGCGACACGGCCCAGACUCCUACGGGAGGCAGCAGUAGGGAAUCUUCGGCAAUGGACGAAAGUCUGACCGAGCAACGCCGCGUGAGUGAAGAAGGUUUUCGGAUCGUAAAGCUCUGUUGUAAGAGAAGAACGGGUGUGAGAGUGGAAAGUUCACACUGUGACGGUAUCUUACCAGAAAGGGACGGCUAACUACGUG
rnacentral:rRNA from 1 species